UGCUCUUCCUAUCUGAGUAUGGCGUGUAGAUUGAUUUGGGAAAAAAGUAAUUUAAAGCAGUUUAACAUAAGGCAGCAACAGCAAAAUGUG